rnacentral:misc_RNA from 1 species
GAAAUGCGAUAAGCAAUGUGAAUUGCAGAAUUCAGUGAAUCAUCGAAUCUUUGAACGCACCUUGCGCUCCUUGGUAUUCCUUGGAGCAUGCCUGUUUGAGUAUCAUGAAAUCUUCAAAGUAAAUCUUUUGUUAACUCAAUUGGUUUCUACUUUGGUAUUGGAGGUCUUUGCAGCUUCACACCUGCUCCUCUUUGUUCAUUAGCUGGAUCUCAGUGUUAUGCUUGGUUCCACUCGGCGUGAUAAGUUAUCUAUCACUGAGGACACUGUAAAAGGUGGCCAAGGUAAAUGCAGAUGAACCGCUUCUAAUAGUCCAUUGACUUGGACAAUACUUUUAUGAUCUGAUCUCAAAUCAGGUAGGACUACCCGCUGAACUUAAGC